UGGGCAUCGACUUAACUCCCAAACCCCUGUGACAUACCUUAAUGUUGCCUCGGCGGAUCAGCCCGCGCCCCGUAAAACGGGACGGCCCGCCAGAGGACCCAAACUCUAAUGUUUCUUAUUGUAACUUCUGAGUAAAACAAACAAAUAAAUCAAAACUUUCAACAACGGAUCUCUUGGUUCUGGCAUCGAUGAAGAACGCAGCAAAAUGCGAUAAGUAAUGUGAAUUGCAGAAUUCAGUGAAUCAUCGAAUCUUUGAACGCACAUUGCGCCCGCUGGUAUUCCGGCGGGCAUGCCUGUUCGAGCGUCAUUUCAACCCUCAAGCCCCCGGGUUUGGUGUUGGGGAUCGGCUCUGCCCUUCUGGGCGGUGCCGCCCCCGAAAUACAUUGGCGGUCUCGCUGCAGCCUCCAUUGCGUAGUAGCUAACACCUCGCAACUGGAACGCGGCGCGGCCAUGCCGUAAAACCCCAACUUCUGAAUGUUGACCUCGGAUCAGGUAGGAAUACCCGCUGAACUUAAGCAUAUCAAUAAGCCGGAGGAAA
rnacentral:rRNA from 1 species